rfam:Marinomonas sp. MWYL1, complete genome.
UGGGGUAUAGCCAAGCGGUAAGGCAACGGGUUUUGAUCCCGUCAUGCGUAGGUUCGAAUCCUUCUACCCCAG